CAUUAUUCUGUCAUUUUUUGGGGGGGAGGCACCUGUCCCAGAAAUAGCUCCAGCCCAACACAGCAUUUAAAAGCGAGGGAGAGAGAGAACAAGGGAGGGAAAGAGAGGGUGCGAGAGGGAAAGACACAGUGAAAGCAAGGAAGAAGAGGGAGGUGCAGUACUUCUAGACAGUCACUAGGAGGAAGAGCGUGAAGAAGAGGGCUUAACCCAGCAGAAAUGGAAUGGUGCCCGUACGCACACAUCUCCAGGAGGAAGAAGGCCCAUCACGUGGCGGGAGACAAAAACGACGAAACAACGACAAAAAUAAUAUCAUAUUUAAAAGAAACACCAACAGAAACGCUUUCACAUAAAAAUACACAACUCUGGGUAACAAUGCAGAUAAAAAUUAACACCAAAUAGGAGAAAUAACACCAAGAUACAAAUUGCCGCAAAAAUCGGCACGCAAAACUACGAAAAGGCCCCAAAAAAGCAUCUUGUUGCCAGGUUUUUGCAGAGCCCCUGUGCAGAUAGUUGGAGGCAGAGGGUUAAAAUCCAGCUAGUAGUAAAAAAUGUCCCUCUGUGGAAGGGCGGGCUGUGGGGAGGCCCUGACUGGAGGAAUAUCAGCAGACUUCUUUUCUUUUUCUUUUUUCUUCCCCACAGAGCCUGAGUCUCUCCCUUGCAUGCAGCUGGAGCUGAGAGAAGGGGAGCGAGCGAGAGAAGAGAGGAGAGGAGGAGAGAGGAGAGGAGGAGAGAGAAGAGGAGCGAGGAUAGAGGAGAGGAGAUAGCAAGCGCAGAGUGAAGGAGAGAAAAGCUCAAGUGAUGAUGAAAUAGGAGGUGCGGCGGAGCGCGAGAGCCAGACACUUCUUGAUCACACGUCCAACACGGCAAGGAACUGUAUUUGCACUUGAGAGGGAGGGAGAGAGAAUGAAGGAAGGGAGAUGGAGGCCGAGAGGGAAAGAGAGAGAGAGAGAAAGAGAGAGCGAGAGGGGAGAGAGAGUGGGAGGGCGAAAAGCAGGCAAGGGUGGGAGGGGGUAGAGGAGGAAGAAUGACACAGAAAUCCACUCCUCCAGCAGUGCGCAGACGCAGUGUACACACUCACGCCAUACUAGCACACGCUACACCCCGACAAUCAACUACACACAAGAGCAGAAAUAAGAGAGAAAAGAGAGAGAAAAUGAGAGAGAGAUAAAAGAGAAAGAGAGAAAAGAGAGAAGAGGGAGAAAAGAGAGAGAAAAGAGAGAGAAAAGAGAGGGAGAAAAGAGAAAGAGAGAGAAAAGAGAGGGAGAAAACAGAAAGAGAGAGAAAAGAGGCAGAAAAGAGAGAGAAAAGAGAUCAACAGACAAACACUCAGAGUGGAUAAGGAACUUGAAAUAUGCAACACUUCUGAGAGCAGGUUAAAUGAUUAACCUUAUCUGGUACAGUACAGUACAGUACUGUAGCGCUCUCUCUCUGUCGUCAAGCUGCAACAGCCUGUCUGGAUCACAUUCUGCAGCCAGCCACGACUCACAGACAGAGUAUUAACUCUUUAGCAUGCCACAGCAGCUAGCGUGGAAGCAGCAUGGAGAAGACAAAAAACAUAAGCUACUUGCGUAUAAUACUGUAGUGUAGCACGUGGCAGGGUAGGAGCUGGGUUUGUAGAGUUACAGUACAGCAAGACCCUCCUCCUCCUGUCCUCACUCGAUCACUCCGAGGGGCUAAACAUUGCACGACCCUUACAGCUAUUUUGGCAAGGAGUCAAAAGCCUGAUAACCAUUCUGUAUGAGACCUCACUGCUUUUCUGGAAGAAAAACAGCUGCCGUGAUUACAAUGUGAUUGUGAAUUCACAGAAAACACGAGUGGUUCUGAUUUGUCCUGGGUAAAAAGGCAGAGGAUAGCUUAUCCAAAUAACCCAGAAACUAUAGCUGUACUGACUAAAAACGUAUCAUAUUUAAAACCAAUAGGAAAAGAUUUUUGAGUGUAUUUGGGUCUAAAGUAUCCCUUACCCUGGAAUCGUCUAGAGUCCUGCAUCGUGACGCGCUCCACCCUCCCUAAACCCUGCUGUUUGAGCGAGCGUGCACACGCACAUGUGCACGCGCACACGCACACACAAUUAUGUACUACAGGACUACAAAACAACAUGGCAGACCAGUCCUCCAUCUUAGUUCAUACUGAUUAUUCUUUUGAUUCACGUGUCUGCCUAUCUCAGUUUUUUAUGCUCCUUCUCUCCCUUCCUCUCGCCCUGCUUCUCUCUCUCUGUCCCG
rnacentral:lncRNA from 1 species